rfam:Trichoplax adhaerens TRIADscaffold_4 genomic scaffold, whole genome shotgun sequence.
UCAACGGCUUUUUUUAAAGCCACAAUCAUUUCAAAAAAGAAUUGA